rnacentral:tRNA from 1 species
GGGUCACUAGCUCAGUCGGUAGAGCAUCAGACUUUUAAUCUGGUUGUCCGGGGUUCGAGUCCCCGGUGACUCA